rnacentral:rRNA from 1 species
UAGUCUGGUGCCAGCAGCCGCGGUAAGACGGAGGAUGCAAGUGUUAUCCGGAAUUACUGGGCGUAAAGCGUCUGUAGGUGGUUUAGUAAGUCGAUUGUUAAAGCUUGGGGCUUAACUCCAAAACAGCAAUGGAAACUGCUAGACUUGAGUAUGGUAGAGGUAAAAGGAAUUUCCAGUGGAGCGGUGAAAUGCGUAGAUAUUGGAAAGAACACCGAUGGCGAAGGCAUUUUACUGGGCCAAAACUGACACUCAGAGACGAAAGCUAGGGUAGCAAAUGGGAUUAGAUACCCCAGUAGUCCUAGCUGUAAACGAUGGAUACUAGAUGUUGCACGUAUCGACCCGUGCAGUGUCAUAGCUAACGCGUUAAGUAUCCCGCCUGGGAAGUAUGCGCGCAAGCGUGAAACUCAAAGGAAUUGACGGGGGCCCGCACAAGCGGUGGAGCAUGUGGUUUAAUUUGAUGCAACGCGAAGAACCUUACCAGGGUUUGACAUGACAGGAAUUCUUCUGAGAAGAGGAAGUGCCUUUUUAAGGAACCUGUACACAGGUGGUGCAUGGCCGUUCUU